ACGCCUAAUACAUGCAAGUCGAACGGAGUAGCAAUACUUAGUGGCAGACGGGUGAGUAACAUGUGGGUAUCUUCCCUUUGGUGAGGAAUAACACGAGGAAACUUGUGCUAAUACCUCAUAAGUCUUUACGGAGAAAGCUUUAUGCGCCAAUGGAUGAGCCUGCACUUGAUUAGUUUGUUGGUGGGGUAAUGGCCUACCAAGACAAUGAUCAAUAGCUGAUUUGAGAGGAUGAUCAGCCACAUUGGGACUGAGACACGGCCCAAACUUCUACGGAAGGCAGCAGUAGGGAAUCUUGCACAAUGGAGGAAACUCUGAUGCAGCGAUGCCGCGUGAGUGAAGAAGGCCCUUGGGUUGUAAAGCUCUUUCGUCGGGGAAGAAAAUGACUGUACCCGAAUAAGAAGGUCCGGCUAACUUCGUGCCAGCAGCCGCGGUAAUACGAAGGGACCUAGCGUAGUUCGGAAUUACUGGGCUUAAAGAGUUCGUAGGUGGUUAAAAAAGUUGGUGGUGAAAUCCCAGAGCUUAACUCUGGAACUGCCAUCAAAACUUUUUAGCUAGAGUAUGAUAGAGGAAAGCAGAAUUUCUAGUGUAGAGGUGAAAUUCGUAGAUAUUAGAAAGAAUACCAAUUGCGAAGGCAGCUUUCUGGAUCAUUACUGACACUGAGGAACGAAAGCAUGGGUAGCGAAGAGGAUUAGAUACCCUCGUAGUCCAUGCCGUAAACGAUGUGUGUUAGACGUUGGAAAUUUAUUUUCAGUGUCGCAGCGAAAGCAAUAAACACACCGCCUGGGGAGUACGAC
rnacentral:rRNA from 1 species